ACGAACGCUGGCGGCGUGCUUAACACCUGCAAGUCGAACGGAAAGGCCCUGCUUGCAGGGUCCUCGAGUGGCGAACGGGUGAGUAACACGUGGGUGAUCUGCCCUGCACUUCGGGAUAAGCCUGGGAAACUGGGUCUAAUACCGGAUAGGAGCCAUUUUUAGUGUGAUGGUUGGAAAGUUUUUUCGGUGUAGGAUGAGCUCGCGGCCUAUCAGCUUGUUGGUGGGGUAAUGGCCUACCAAGGCGGCGACGGGUAGCCGGCCUGAGAGGGUGGACGGCCACAUUGGGACUGAGAGACGGCCCAGACUCCUACGGGAGGCAGCAGUGGGGAAUAUUGCACAAUGGGCGCAAGCCUGAUGCAGCGACGCCGCGUGGGGGAGGACGGCCUUCGGGUUGGAAACUCCUUUCGCUAGGGACGAAGCUUUUUGUGACGGUACCUAGAUAAGAAGCACCGGCUAACUACGUG
rnacentral:rRNA from 1 species